rnacentral:rRNA from 1 species
UACGAAGGGGGCUAGCGUUGUUCGGAAUUACUGGGCGUAAAGCGCGCGCAGGCGGUCUUCCAAGUCAGUGGUGAAAGCCCGGAGCUCAACUCCGGAACUGCCAUUGAAACUGUAAGACUUGAGUACGAGAGAGGUGAGUGGAAUUCCCAGUGUAGAGGUGAAAUUCGUAGAUAUUGGGAAGAACACCGGUGGCGAAGGCGGCGACCUGGUCCUUGACUGACGCUGAGGCGCGAAAGCGUGGGGAGCAAACAGG